CAGAGAGUAGUUUAAAUAAAAUACUAGUUUUGGGGAUUAGUGAUAGGGUAAGAGAACUCUUUCUCUGA
rnacentral:tRNA from 1 species